rnacentral:rRNA from 1 species
GGGGGGACGCAGGAGGAUAGGGCAAGCGCGACACUGGUUGAUCGCGUCCAAGCAGUUAGGCCGGUGCGGAGGCAAAUCCUUCGCGCCAAGGCGGAGCUGUGAUGGCGAGGGAAAUUAAAGUACCGAAGUUCCUGAUUCCACACUGCCAAGAAAAGCCUCUAGUGAGGUGAAAGGCGCCCGUACCGCAAACCGACACAGGUAGGCGAGGAGAGAAUCCUAAGGUGAGCGAGAGAACUCUCGUUAAGGAACUCGGCAAAAUGACCCCGUAACUUCGGGAGAAGGGGUGCUUUUUGGGGUGUAUGCCCCGGGAAGCCGCAGUGAAUAGGCCCAGGCGACUGUUUAGCAAAAACACAGGUCUCUGCGAAGCCGCAAGGCGAAGUAUAGGGGCUGACACCUGCCCGGUGCUGGAAGGUUAAGGAGAGGGGUUAGCCGCAAGGCGAAGCUCUGAACUGAAGCCCCAGUAAACGGCGGCCGUAACUAUAACGGUCCUAAGGUAGCGAAAUUCCUUGUCAGGUAAGUUCUGACCCGCACGAAAGGUGUAACGAUCUGGGCACUGUCUCAACGAGAGACUCGGUGAAAUUAUAGUACCUGUGAAGAUGCAGGUUACCCGCGACAGGACGGAAAGACCCCAUGGAGCUUUACUGCAGCCUGAUAUUGAAUUUUGGUACAGCUUGUACAGGAUAGGUAGGAGCCUUGGAAACCGGAGCGCCAGCUUCGGCGGAGGCAUCGGUGGGAUACUACCCUGGCUGUAUUGAAAUUCUAACCCGCACCCCUUACCGGGGUGGGAGACAGUGUCAGGCAGGCAGUUUGACUGGGGCGGUCGCCUCCUAAAAGGUAACGGAGGCGCCCAAAGGUUCCCUCAGAAUGGUUGGAAAUCAUUCGCAGAGUGUAAAGGCAUAAGGGAGCUUGACUGCGAGACUUACAAGUCGGGCAGGGACGAAAGUCGGGCUUAGUGAUCCGGUGGUUCCGCAUGGAAGGGCCAUCGCUCAACGGAUAAAAGCUACCCUGGGGAUAACAGGCUGAUCUCCCCCAAGAGUCCACAUCGACGGGGAGGUUUGGCACCUCGAUGUCGGCUCAUCGCAUCCUGGGGCUGUAGUCGGUCCCAAGGGUUGGGCUGUUCGCCCAUUAAAGCGGUACGCGAGCUGGGUUCAGAACGUCGUGAGACAGUUCGGUCCCUAUCCGUCGCGGGCGCAGGAAAUUUGAGAGGAGCUGUCCUUAGUACGAGAGGACCGGGAUGGACGCACCGCUGGUGUACCAGUUGUCUUGCCAAAGGCAUCGCUGGGUAGCUAUGUGCGGAAGGGAUAAGUGCUGAAAGCAUCUAAGCAUGAAGCCCCCCUCAAGAUGAGAUUUCCCACAGUUUAACUGGUAAGAUCCCUGAAAGAUGAUCAGGUUGAUAGGUCCGGGGUGGAAGCGCGGUGACGCGUGCAGCUGACGGAUACUAAUCGAUCGAGGACUUAACC